rnacentral:rRNA from 1 species
UACGUAGGGUGCAAGCGUUAAUCGGAAUUACUGGGCGUAAAGCGUGCGCAGGCGGUUUUGUAAGUCUGUCGUGAAAUCCCCGGGCUUAACCUGGGAAUUGCGAUGGAGACUGCAAGGCUAGAAUCUGGCAGAGGGGGGUAGAAUUCCACGUGUAGCAGUGAAAUGCGUAGAGAUGUGGAGGAACACCGAUGGCGAAGGCAGCCCCCUGGGUCAAGAUUGACGCUCAUGCACGAAAGCGUGGGGAGCAAACGAGGAUUAGAAACCCGUGG